CGUUUUUAUCAUGAUAUUUCCCUUGUUCAGCUGAUGGUCAGACUCAAAAAAUAGCGGUUCAAAAUCCUUGUGAAGGAGCUGAAACCGCGUCGGAAUGCAAACCAUUGUACCUUGGGAUAUACCACGCCGAAGAAAUCAAAUGCACAUGCAAAGAAAAAAGUUGCUUUCUUCCUGGACAAAUCAUGUUUACCGUGAAAAAAGGAGAUCCAAGUUCUUUUAGUACAAGCAACAAGCCCACAGUUACCGUAUCCCUGGUUCACAUCCUUACAAUUUUUGCAAUUUUGCAAACUGUCAUCCACUGAACUACUUCACAUCGCCAGAAGUACUUCUGGCAUCUAGUUUACUCGCUACACAUCAAAAUAAACAAAACACGCACAAAUAAUGUGUCUUUCUGGCUUUACAUGCUUGAACUUUACAUGCUUGAAAUAGAUAUCACUAAUAAAAUCAAAAUUAAAAUAC